CCCAGAAAACGUUGCAGGCUGAGGCCUGAAUAUUAACUGGGGAAGAAAAAAAAGAGUAGACAAGCUGCAGAACAUCAAGUGGUGCUUACCAGGGAAGCAAGCGAGAUGCUGGCUGACCUGCUUCAGCUGGGGAACAGGAUUUUGGAGGUAUGCCACAGGAGGCAUUUCCCCGCAGCUUCCUGCUCUCAGGUCUCUGGGCAAGUGUUUAGGUGGUCCAAGAACUUCUGUGCGGUCUGCUGUUUCUCUGUCUUCUUCCCAUGAUCCUCAGCACUCUCAAGCCUUGAGUGCUGCAGCAAGGCUUCAGGGAAAGACUUCUGAGACUGUUUCCUACCUGCAUUAGUGAGAAGGUAAGGCAUCAAGGAGAGAGAAAUGGCUGCCAGUAGGAAAUCUUCAUCAAUGCAGUGUGAAGUACUAAGGAAAGUAAGUCUGUUGGUUCUUGAUUUUCUGUAAAGAUACAACACAGUUAUCUGUUGCCUAUAGUCCAUCCCUACAACAACAUCAGGUGCUAAAGUUUGUGUCCUGUUGUGCUUAUGAAGGGGAAUGGUCUUUGGACAAAGCCUUAGAGCAUUGUAUUGACAUGGCACACUUUGUGUGUGGCUUUUUUUGGUGACUAAGACAAAAAAGGGCAGUCUUACAGGAUGAGGGAUGGAUUUUGACAGGGCAAAUUGUUGAGAGCAAGAUGUUUGAUUCUGAUUGAAUUAUGUGCAAAGAUACUAAAGCCUUUGUAGAGAAAUAAAAAAUUAUAGGAUCAUAAGAUAAUUCAGGUUGAAGGGGAUCUCAGGAGGUCAAACAGUUCAAUGUCUUCCUGAAAAAUAUGCUUUUGUUUUAUAAUGCAUUUGUUUGACUUGUUGACUUCAUUACCUAUUUAUUUUCCUUUGUAUUUUAUUAUCAUUCACCGGUUUUUAAUUCUCUCUCCAUAUAUGCGUGCAUAUAUGUGUUUUUUAUGCUUGCAUAUGUAUGUAGGUGCAAAUACAUCAUUUCUGUCAUUGCUUCCACCUAGGAAGACAAAUUCUUGUCUCAAGUGUCAAUUUUUGAAUCUGAGAAUCUUGGCCUCUUGGGCAUCCAGCAAGAUAUUCCUGAAAAAUUCCAAGUAAUUUUAUCACUUCUCUGUUAAAUGCAUGUUCCCAACUAUAAUCUCAGCCAUUCCUCUAACUUUCAAUAAUUGGAAAAGAUCCUUGAGAUAUUUCAGGUUGGUGGCAUAUCCUGUUUGCACUUAAUAAAUCAAACCUCAUUUCAUUAGGCAUUUUUUCAAUUUUUAUAAAAGCCAUUAGCUGUUCCUUAUCUAUCAUAAUGAGGCCCAUUAUGGUGAGUAAUUGAUAAUGGACAUUACUGAGUUACUUGAUAUCCCAUGCAGAAAUUUCUGUUUUAAGAAAAAAGUCAUUUCUUUCAGAGAUUUCUGAAGUUUUAUUAUUAUGUGGACUGAGAAAAUGAUCUGCAGGAUGAAAGACACUUAUGGUAACACAGUUGUCCUUUC
ensembl:lncRNA